UACGGGGGGGGCAAGCGUUGUUCGGAAUUACUGGGCGUAAAGGGCUGGUAGGCGGCCAACUAAGUCGGAUGUGAAAUCCCCAGGCUUAACCUGGGAACUGCAUCCGAUACUGGUCGGCUUGAAUCCGGGAGAGGGAUGCGGAAUUCCAGGUGUAGCGGUGAAAUGCGUAGAUAUCUGGAGGAACACCGGUGGCGAAGGCGGCAUCCUGGACCACGACUGACGCUGAGGAGCGAAAGCCAGGGGAGCAAACGGG
rnacentral:rRNA from 1 species